rnacentral:rRNA from 1 species
UGAGGAACAUGACCUUCGGCGGGGGAGUAGCCGGCCCAACGGCCGGGUAAUACCGCGUACGACCACAUGGGGACAUCCCUGAGUGGUGAAAGCAGCAAUGCGCCGAUGGAGUGCCUCGCGGCCUAUCAGCUAGUUGGCGAGGUAACGGCUCACCAAGGCAACGACGGGUAGCUGGUCUGAGAGGAUGGCCAGCCACAGUUGGGACUGAGAUACCGGCCCAGACCUCGUACGGGGAGG